AAAUGGAAAAUAUAUAGUUAAAUAAAUUUUUGAUGAUAAGUUAAAAGUAAAUAAAGAGAGUGGGCGUCGUAUAAAUACUAUACCUUUCAGAUGUUUCUUGCCAUGAGACUUUUCUGGAUAUUUUAAAUUUAAGCAUCUAAAGCAGUAGACCUUUCCGAUAACCUUGACCACCAAAUAAUUAUGUGGAGGAUAGUAAUGAGUAGGUGGUGGCGGUGAAGUGUAAUAGUA
rnacentral:lncRNA from 1 species